UCUUAGCUCAAGAGGUUGAGUAAGUUCGAGUGCCGGCACGGUAGCGUUGGAGUGUGUCCAAGGCCGUGACAACGUGCCGUUAAGGUGUCUUCACCACCACCACCACAAGCUAAACCCUAAACCCUAAACCCUAAACCCUAAACCCCACCACCACCACCACCACCCUUCUGUGCUCCCAGCUACUGAUGGAUCUCAAGCACCCCACAAGAGAAUAAGAAGAAUGGAAGGUCCUCGGAAAAGCAUGGAAGAUUCAGUUCAGCGCAAAAUGGAGCAGUUUUAUGAAGGGAAAGAUGGGCCACCUCUCCGUGUUCUUCCGAUUGGUGGGCUGGGUGAAAUUGGGAUAAACUGCAUGCUGGUUGGGAACCAUGAUCGCUAUAUCCCCAUUGAUGCCGGAGUUAUGUUUCCAGAGUAGGUCUUAUUGCCCCAAAUAACCUCCCUCAAUUACCCUACUCACUUAGCCUGAACUGUUGUUAUGUAGCUAUGAUGAACUUGGAGUCCAAAAGAUCAUACCUGAUACAACAUUUAUAAGAAAAUGGAGCCACAAAAUUGAAGCACUUGUUAUAACACAUGGUCAUGAGGAUCACAUUGGAGCGUUGCCUUGGGUAAGGCCUACUUCACAUUUGAACUUUGUGCUUGGGUUGUUGAUGAGAAGGCUCAAUGUUUGAGGCAUUGUAUGUAGUAUUCAAUCAGUCAUGCCUGGAAGCAAUUAGGAUAGCUACAGUCCUUAAAUGAAUAUAUAUUAGUUUUUAACAUUGUGCCUUGUAUAAUAUAUUUUAUUCCAUUGAUGUUCAUUCUCAUUGAUAAUUUAUUUAUUCUUAACAAUGAGUUUGGUCUGUUAUUUGUAUCUGCACUAAACAUAAUUUUUGCAUGAUCCCUCACGUCAUUCCAGCAUUGGAUUCCAAUACACCAAUUUUCGCAUCUUCCUUUACAAUGGAGGUAAUUUAGCAAGAAUAUUUCUUCCUAAAUGCUAUGUUUACUUGGAUUGAAUAUGGAUCAGCAAUGAUGUUUUGUAGAAAGUGAUAGAGGUGACAUGCUUUGCAACACAGCUUAAGAUGUCUAACGUGCUCUUGAAUUUUUCAUUUUGUGUCACCAUGUUUG